GUAAGCCGUGUGCGGGAAAACCGCACGCACGGUUUGAACGGGGGCCCUACCGGCAU
rfam:Enhygromyxa salina strain DSM 15201 ES-Contig_106, whole genome shotgun sequence.